GAAGAGUUAAUGGUUUAGAGGAAACAGAUUGCUGUAACAGGAUUUGGAGGGCCGGCCCCUCUCCGGUCUCUGUCUCUGUUUCUCAUUGUAAUGCUGUCCGGCUCAUCAGUUAUUUCCUUCAUGGAUCGUGCCUAUGGCGUUGUGUCUAAAAUGUCAUCACCAAACCCAAGGUCGUCUAGGUUUCCUGCUCUGUGAUCUUCUAGGAGCUUUAUAUAAAGUUUUGCAUCUUAGGUCUAUGAUCCGUUUUGACUUAACUUUUGUGAAGAUCGCAAGGUCCGUGUCUAGAUUCAUCAUUCUGCACGUGAUGUCUGGUGGUUCCAGCGACAUUUGUCCAAGAGCCUGUCUUUGCUCCAUCGUCAAGAAGCCCUGCCGUAAACAGAUGCCAAGCAUCGCGAACCAAGACUGCACGCGUAGAGCGCCACGCCACUCUCCCGUUCCUUCCCGGGGAUUCCUGGAAACCCAGCUUGGAGAGAGGCCUGCGGGGUGACCCGGCCUGGCUGUGCCGCCCCUCAGCCCCUUCGCAGCGCCCCGUCCCCCGGCUGCCGCAGCCUCUCAGGGCGGGACGGGUGCACACCCAGGCCUGUCUCCCUGCAGAGCCCAGCUGUCGGAGGCUAAGACUGUGCCUCCCUCGGCCCCUGUUCCUGCUGCACCCGGUCCCCUCGUGUCGUGCAUCAUACCAGCCCGGAGUCCUCGUGUGCCCUCAGCAAAGAGGGGACGAAGGUUCAGAGAGGUCAAGUCACUGACUGAAGAUCACACAGUGGGAGGCAGCAGAGAAACGUUCAAACCAGCGGCUUCUGUUCCUAAGCUCAUGCCCAUUACUUCUUAGUGUGAACAAAGGGCACCCGGUGGCCAGACUUUCUGUACUGAAGAUGCUUCCAGAUCUUUCCAAGGAGAACACAGACCCGGCGUGCAGACUCCUCUCCUCUCGCUGCUCCGCGUUAUCCAUUUCCCUCAUUAAGUCUUAGCCUAUUAAUAACCACCCAUUUGUCUUAAUUCAAUAAAAAGAUGAUUGAUCGUA